GCUGAUCACUGACAAUCUGCAGCUGCGGCGAAGCGUGGGCGUGAAGCGUUCGGCGUCUGCGGGGGCGUGUCCUGGCAUGGUACCAGACAGAGUGUUGGAGGAUCUUGCUGCGGGAGAACUGAGGGUUCGAGACCGCGGCGUGACACAAACACACAUACUGUACAGCAGAUUUUUAGAGCUAAAUGUGUAUAUAUCAUUUACACACACAUACACAUUGACCACCCCGGACACAUUUUUUUUUCUCAAUGUGGCCCCCGAGUCAAACUAUUUGCCCAGCUCAGAAAUGAAAUGAAAUAGAUUCUAACGUCACUCGUGCUGAUGUCGGAUUGGCAAAAGAGAGUCAUCUGACAGUGCACGCUGGAAGAAGUCUUCCGAAAGAGCCAAAUUAAUACGUAUUUGCAAGCAGUAAUCAAAAGAAUAAAAAUGAUUAUCAUGCAUAUCAAUUAAUAAAACUCAACGUGACAGAGUAAAAUGAAAGUUUUUUAAGCUAAAAAGCGCAAAUGACGUUUUUGUCCCAAACUUCCGUAGUUUGGAGAAAUGUGUAACGGCGUACGAUUGCUCUUGAGCCACAGGCUUGAAAAUAAACUCUAGCAGGACUGACCUUAUGGAUUUAUCAGAUCCAAAGCCAUGUCAAGUUGUUCUCCGGAUAAGACAAUUUUACCCUCAAUCGCCGUGAGAUGACAUCAUUGAAGCUUCACGUCCGUCUUUGGAUUACGGUUAAGUGCAUUAAUAACAUCAAAUGUAGAUUGUUACUCAAACUGCUUUAGUAAGAUGGAAUAGAAGCUCAGCAGAAACAAAGACGGCAGAGAGGAAAUCUAAGUCAUUUUUAUCGGAGAUUUUCACACUUACACAUUGGCCCCGCCAUACUCAUGUUUUCUCUCAAUGUGGCCCCCAGGUCAAAAUAUUUGCCCAGCUGUGCAGUAGAUCCUGUUUCUUUCAACUUUUUGGCUGAUCCAUGUCGACAUAAUAGAUGGAAUGUGAAUGUUUACCUGUGGCAUCAGGAGAACGGGUCAUUAUUAAUAAAUGUUCAAUAUUUCCUUUUAUGUUGUGACAAAGAUGACACGCUUUCGUAAAUGCACACAUUUUUAGUACAGUGGCUAACAAUCAUCAAUCAAUCAAUCAAUGAUUAUUUAUAUAGCCCUAAAUCACUAGUGUCUCAAAGGGCUGCACAAACCACAACACAAACCACUACGACAUCCUCGGUAGGCCCACAUAAGGGCAAGGAAAACUCACACCCAGUAGGACGUCAGUGACAAUGAUGACUAUGAGAACCUUGGAGAGGACCACAACCAUCUAGGGGACCGAAAGCAAUGGAUAUCGAGCGGGUCUAACAUGAUACUGUGAAAGUUCAAUCCAUAGUGGAUCCAACACAGCCGCGAGAGUCCAGUCCAAAGCAGAUCCAACGCAGCAGCGAGAGUCCCGUCCACAGUGGAGCCAGCAGGAAACCACACCAAGCGGAGUCGGAUCAGCAGCGCAGAGAUGUCCCCAGCCAAUACACAGGCGAGUGGUCCAUCCUGGGUCCCGACUCUGGACGAGUCCAGAGUCUGGACAGAAAGUACUUCAUACAUGGCCAUCGGACCGGGCCCCCUCCACAAGGGAGAGUGGGACAUAGGAGAAAAAGAAAAUAAACACCAGAUCAACUGGUCUAAAAAGGGAGUCUAUUUAAAGGCUAGAGUAUACAAAUGAGUUUUAAGGUGAGACUUAAAUGCUUCUACUGAGGUGGCAUCUCAAACUGUUACCGGGAGGGCAUUCCAGAGUACUGGAGCCCGAAUGGAAAACGCUCUAUAGCCCGCAGACUUUUUUGGGGCUUUGGGAAUCACUAAUAAGCCGGAGUCCUUUGAACGCAGAUUUCUUGCCGGGACAUAUGGUACAAUAGAAUCAAUAAAAAAAUACGGGCUGUUAAAUGAUUAAAAUAUUUAAUUGCAAUUAAUCGCAUUGUUCAUCCAUCCAUCCAUUUUCAACCGCUUAUUCCCGUUGGGUUCGAGGGGGGCGCUGGUGCCUAGCUCAGCUACAAUCAGGCGGAAGGCAGCAUACACCCUGGACAAGUCACCACCUCAUCACAGGGCAAAAACAGAUAGACAGACAACAUUCACACUCACAUUCACACACUAGGGCCAAUUUAGUGUUGCCAAUCAACCUAUCCCCAGGUGCAUGUCUUUGGAGGUGGGAAAAAGCCGGAGUACCCGGAGGGAACCCACGCAGUCACGGGGAGAACAUGCAAAUUCCACACAGAAAGAUCCCGAGCCCGGGAUUGAACCCAGGACUACCCAGGAUCUUCUUAUUGUGAGGCAGACGCACUAACCCCUCUCCUACCGUGUUGCCUCGCAUUGUUCAUAGUUACCUCAAAAUUAAUUGUGAGUCAUCGCAGAAAAAUGUAAUGUUUUUGUCGUUAAUAAGUGUACCCGAGACGGAUCAUUUUAUGUUUUUAAUAUCAUGACUGGACAAUUAAUUUUCUUUAUAAAAUGUUUUUUGAAACAGCUCAACACAAAAAUGAUAUAAACAAGCUUUUAAAGAAAUUUAAACAUUACCUGUAAUGCAUUGGUAUCUUUUCAGAUUUUCUAUUUUGUAGGAAUGCAGAAUUUGUGUUUCUGCUUUAGGAGCACCCACAUUUUGAGGAGAGGAGCUACACUCCCAUGUUUAGAUAGCAGUUUCACGCAUUAAUACAGUGCUUCUCAAUUAUUUUCUGUUACACCCACCCUUUAAAGAAGACUAUAAAUAUAUAUGAAUAAUAUCAUUUUUCUAUAAAAUUGUUACAACUAUACCCCUGCAUAACAUUGUAAGCUUAAUAACAUGAAAAAUAAGCAACACACCGGUAUUUCCUCGUCUCCCAUCGUGGUUACUAUGAAGCCAAGUGCAACAUAUGCUUUGUCAUAUUCUGGUACGGUGAGAAAAGCAUGACUUUAGACUUCCUCUCUACCGUCUUUGAUUUUUGAUUUUUUGAUUUUUAUUAAUGAUCUCCAUUAGCUGGUUGCCACAACAACCCACUAGUCUUCCUGGGGUCCACAAAAAACCCAAAGCAUCUAAUUAUAAAUACACAAUACAAAAACAAAUACAAAUCAUCAACAAGCAAACAAUUUACAGUCUCAGAAUGUUAGUUACCAUAUAAAUAUAACUGCACAAUACAAAACCAAACAAAAUAAUCAUCAAGCAAACUAAUUUACGGACUCAGAUAAAAUAUUAGUUUCCUUUUAAAGGGAAACAUUAUCACAAUUUCUGAAGGGUUAAAACCAAUAAAAAUCAGUUCCCAGUGGCUUAUUUUAUUUUUUGAAGUUUUUCUCCAAAUUUUACCCAUCACGCAAUAUCCCGAAAAACGUCUUCAAAGUGCCUGAUUUAACCAUCGUUAUAUCCACCCGUCCAUUAUCCUGUGACGUCACUGCGUGACCACACGGAAACAAACAUGGUGGAUAGCACAGAAAGGUAUAGCGAUAUUAGCUCGGGUUCAGACUCGGAUUUCAGCGCCGUAAGCGAUUCAACAGAUUACGCAUGUAUUGAAACGGAUGGUUGGAGUGUAAAGGCAGUUACCGAAAACAAAAUUAAGGAAGAAACAGAAGCUUUUGAGCGAAUUUGGCGAUCGCCUUCUAAACAACGAUUGGUAUGUGUUUGUUAGGCAUUAAAUAUGGGUGGAGGGAAAGGCUGGAUGCAAAUAUAGCUACAAAUGAGGCAUAAUGAUGUAAUAUGUACAUACAGUUAGCCUAAAUAGCAUGUUAGCAUCGAUUAGCUUGCAGUCAUGCCAUGACCAAAUAUGUCUGAUUAGCACACUCCACAUAAGUCAAUAACAUCAACAAAACUCACCUUUGUGAUUUCGUUGACUUUAUCGUUGGAAAUGCAUCUGCUUUGAGUGUCGCAGGAUAUCCACACAUUCUUGCCAUAUCUGCCAUCUCUGUCGUAGCAUAGCUGUCGUCUGUACAGUGUGCAGAACAAACGAGGGACUUUCGCAUCUUUUGACCACUCAUGCAACUUGAAACCGUCUCUGUUCGUGUUGUUACACCCUCCGACAACACACCGACGAGGCAUGAUGUCUCCAAGGUACCGUAAAACAGUCGAAAAAACGGAAAAUAACAGAGCUGAUUUGACUUGGUGUGUGUAAUGUGUUUGAGAAAAUGGCGGGUUGCUUCACGAUGUGACGUCACGGGUGAAAGGUCAUUGCUCCGACAGCGAACAAUUGAAAGGCGUUUAAAUCGCCAAAUUCACCCUUUUAGAGCUCAGAAAUCGGUUAAAAAAACAUAUGGUCUUUUUUCUGCAACAUCAAGGUAUAUAUUGACACUUACAUAGGUCUGGUGAUAAUGUUCCCCUUUAAAGACCUGUUUGCUUUCAAUGCCGGUGAGAAUUUGAGGCAGAUUAUUCCAGAGCUUUAUACAGAGCUAUAAAUAAAAGAUUUUCGCAAUGCAUUCUUCCUCGGACGAGGGAGUACAAAAUGACCCUCACUAGACUUUGUUUCUGUUGAGCUUGUAUUCCAUUUUACGAAAGCAGUUAGAGUAAUAAUCUACAUUUUAUGUUUUCAAUGCAUUUAACCAUAAUCCAACUAUGGUCGUGAAAAUGCUUGUCUCUACAAGCAGCAUUCGAGUCAACAAUGUCAACUCACGGAUAUUGAAGGAAAUAUUGCCUUGUCUUGUCCGGAGAAUGACUUGCCAUGGCUUUGGAUCUGAGAAUUCCAUUUGAUCUCCUUUUCUUUGUCCAGUUCUGCUAGCUAUUUUCAAGCCUGUGGCUCAUCAGUAACCGGACGCUAUUACACAUUUCCCUAAACUACCGAACGGGCCGAGGGUCAAAAACGUUAAUCGUGCGUUAAAAUAAUUAUCUACGUUAACGCAUUAACUUUGACAGUGUUGUGGCACAUGCACAGUCUGCGUCUCCCUCUGUGACAGCGCACUCAAGACACGCUCCCGCGCUCAUCAAGUGGCCCACGCCCACUCCCCGCCGCAGCCGUUGGCAGUCCACGCCUGACACACCUAUGACUGAAAACGUGGAGCUGUAUAAAGGGACCAGUGGACCAAGGAUCCUCGCGGGAACUUAGUUCUUAUUUGACGUACAUACCCUCCGUCGCCUGGAAAGAGAGCUGUGCGUCUCUCUUUUCCCCGCAUUUCCCUCUGGUCUUUGACUGCCUCCCUCAAUCCUCAACCCCCACUUUGGACUCGGACCUCUUAACGCCCCUCUCAGCCCCACGGACCACCGCUUGUAUCCCGAAUCACCUGCCUGUCCCCCUGGACGUUCCUUCGCUCUCGUCAACACUUUGGUAACACACACUUCAGUUAAUUUAUACACUUAGUCUUACACCAUAAACUCUUGAGUUUUUGUCACACUUCAUUUCCUUGGUUAAGUCGUUAGUAUUAUUUAGUAUAUUCAUUAUUUAUAGAUUUACCAUUUAAAUAAUAAAUUAUUGAACAUUACUUCCACCUGGUGUCCGUUUGCCGUCACCUCCAUUAGUUAAACACAAGAGACAGCCCCUAAAAGUCUAAAUAUAUAUUUAGUGUUUUGUUUCUGUGGUCAAAUUUAGCUUAAAAAACACAACUUUUACUCCGUUAUAUUGAGUUAUUUUUCCAAUCGUUACAUUUAUUUACAUUAGAAUUAUUUUAAUCUAUUGAUUACUGCUUGCAAAGGCGUAUUAUUUUGGCUCUUUCGGAUAACUUCUCCCAGCGUGCACGGUCACAUGACUCUCCUUCACCAAUCCAACGUCAGCACGAGUGACAUUUGAAUCUAUUUCCUUUCUGACUUCAUUCUAAAUCCUUUGUACUUUAUGUAGAAUUGUAAUUAAAAAUAAAAUUUUGUAACUUUCAA